AGGAUUAGAUACCCUGGUAGUCCACGCUGUAAACGAUGAUCACUAGACGUUAAACCUGCUCUGCAGGAUUAGUGUCGUAGCUAACGCGAUAAGUGAUCCGCCUGGGAAGUACGGUCGCAAGAUUAAAACUCAAAGGAAUUGACGGGGGUCCGCACAAGCGGUGGAACAUGUGGUUUAAUUCGACACUACGCGAGGAACCUUACCUAGGCUUGACAUAUAUGUGACCGCUGUGGAAACACAGUUUUUUAUGCGAAAGCAUAGACAGAUAUACAGGUGCUGCAUGGCUGUCGUCAGCUCGUGUCGUGAGAUGUUGGGUUAAGUCCCGCAACGAGCGCAACCCUCGCCUUUAGUUACCAUCAUUAAGUUGGGGACUCUAAAGGAACCGCCGGUGAUAAGCCGGAGGAAGGUGGGGAUGACGUCAAGUCCUCAUGGCCCUUACGCGCUGGGCUACACACGUGCUACAAUGGCGACUACAGUGGGCUGCGAACUCGCGAGGGUGAGCUAAUCUCCAAAAGUCGUCUCAGUUCGGAUUGUUCUCUGCAACUCGAGAGCAUGAAGGCGGAAUCGCUAGUAAUCGCGGAUCAGCAUGCCGCGGUGAAUACGUUCCCAGGCCUUGUACACACCGCCCGUCACACCAUGGGAGUUGGAUUC
rnacentral:rRNA from 1 species